rnacentral:rRNA from 1 species
GUGAGUAACACGUGGAUAACCUACCUAUAAGACUGGGAUAACUUCGGGAAACCGGAGCUAAUACCGGAUAAUAUUUUGAACCGCAUGGUUCAAAAGUGAAAGACGGUCUUGCUGUCACUUAUAGAUGGAUCCGCGCUGCAUUAGCUAGUUGGUAAGGUAACGGCUUACCAAGGCAACGAUGCAUAGCCGACCUGAGAGGGUGAUCGGCCACACUGGAACUGAGACACGGUCCAGACUCCUACGGGAGGCAGCAGUAGGGAAUCUUCCGCAAUGGGCGAAAGCCUGACGGAGCAACGCCGCGUGAGUGAUGAAGGUCUUCGGAUCGUAAAACUCUGUUAUUAGGGAAGAACAUAUGUGUAAGUAACUGUGCACAUCUUGACGGUACCUAAUCAGAAAGCCACGGCUAACUACGUGCCAGCAGCCGCGGUAAUACGUAGGUGGCAAGCGUUAUCCGGAAUUAUUGGGCGUAAAGCGCGCGUAGGCGGUUUUUUAAGUCUGAUGUGAAAGCCCACGGCUCAACCGUGGAGGGUCAUUGGAAACUGGAAAACUUGAGUGCAGAAGAGGAAAGUGGAAUUCCAUGUGUAGCGGUGAAAUGCGCAGAGAUAUGGAGGAACACCAGUGGCGAAGGCGACUUUCUGGUCUGUAACUGACGCUGAUGUGCGAAAGCGUGGGGAUCAAACAGGAUUAGAUACCCUGGUAGUCCACGCCGUAAACGAUGAGUGCUAAGUGUUAGGGGGUUUCCGCCCCUUAGUGCUGCAGCUAACGCAUUAAGCACUCCGCCUGGGGAGUACGACCGCAAGGUUGAAACUCAAAGGAAUUGACGGGGACCCGCACAAGCGGUGGAGCAUGUGGUUUAAUUCGAAGCAACGCGAAGAACCUUACCAAAUCUUGACAUCCUU